rnacentral:rRNA from 1 species
CGAACGCCGCGUGAGUGAUGAAGGUUUUCGGAUCGUAAAACUCUGUUGUCAGGGAAGAACAAGUACCGGAGUAACUGCCGGUACCUUGACGGUACCUGACCAGAAAGUCACGGCUAACUACGUGCCAGCAGCCGCGAUAAUACGUAGGUGGCAAGCGUUGUCCGGAAUUAUUGGGCGUAAAGCGCGCGCAGGCGGUUCCUUAAGUCUGAUGUGAAAGCCCCCGGCUCAACCGGGGAGGGUCAUUGGAAACUGGGGAACUUGAGUGCAGAAGAGAAGAGUGGAAUUCCACGUGUAGCGGUGAAAUGCGUAGAGAUGUGGAGGAACACCAGUGGCGAAGGCGACUCUUUGGUCUGUAACUGACGCUGAGGCGCGAAAGCGUGGGGAGCAAACAGGAUUAGAUACCCUGGUAGUCCACGCCGUAAACGAUGAGUGCUAAGUGUUAGAGGGUUUCCGCCCUUUAGUGCUGCAGCAAACGCAUUAAGCACUCCGCCUGGGGAGUACGGCCGCAAGGCUG